rnacentral:snoRNA from 1 species
UUAGCACUUUCACAGGUCCUCUCCCAGGCAAUGGGGCCAGGAUUUGGUAGCUGAUGCUGAAAGAAAACCCUUGAUUGCAUACUUGCCCUGGGGCUGUGCCAGUGGCACUUUCACUUAAUGGGACAGAG